UACAAUUCCAUUCUUAAAUCGUAUCAAUACGCAGAUACAUCAACAGUGACAAUAAUGCGCCAUCCAGUAACACAUUUCGAAUCAUAGUACACUUAUUUCGAAAUGAACAAAACAACAGGAAUGAACUUGCAACAAUUUUUAAACGCCCCCAAAAAACCGCCAGUCUUGUCCGGACUUGGCAGUUUUAUAGCGUACAGAGGAUACAAUCAAAUGAGCAUCGAUUUAGGAUUUGAUCCGAAGCAAAGUAAAAAUAGAACAGCAGUUGACCAAUUUAUCGAAAAAAUAGAUCACGAGUUUGAUUUCGUCAUGAUAAUGGAGCAUAUGGAAGCGUCUAUGGUUUUACUCGCCAAUCUAAUGGGAUGGCCAUUAGAGUACAUGGCUUCUUUGAAGUUGAACGCGAGAUUACCCGGAUCAGAUGCUUAUAAAUUGACCUCGCGCGAUGAAUUCAUCAUAAUGGAUCUGAACGAGGUGGAUACUCUGCUAUAUGAUCAUUUCAGAAAUAAAUUUCAAAAAUGCGUGCGACAAUUUGGCGAACAAAAGAUGGAACAACAAAUUCAACGAUUGAAAAUUAUCAAUGAACAAUUCGCACAGAGAUGCGUAACCGAAGUCACAACUGGUACAUGGUUCGGCGUUCCAAAAACCGUCAACUAUGUUCUUAAAAACGAAUCAGACAUGGAAUGUGUUCAUGCUACGUUCGUCAUAUCACUAGAAGACAUUGUUCGAAACACACAAUUUCAAAGACUCUGGUUUCAGCGUAUGAAAUAGAAGUGAAUGAUCAUGCAUCUUGAUCUCAUUUUGGAAUAGUCACAACCAGGCUUUUUUUGUCGGUUCUUUUUUGGGAGCACGCUAAUUCUCGAAAGUUGUAAGUACAUAACUUUUUGAACCCCCAUCCCAAACAUCAACAAAGAAUUGAUUUGCGCCUUAUCCGUUUAAUUGUGCGAUUUCUGAUGAAUUUUUGAGCGGAUUUCGCAACUAGCGACCAAUUGGGCUCCACGUUUUUUUGGGCGAAUAAUCGUUUGCGCUUCUGAUAGUAACAUAUCACCAGAAGCGCAAACGAUUGAAAAUAAUACAUCGUCUGCGAUUUUCCUAAAAUUUCGUCAGUAGGUCUAGGUAUAACAAGAAUUUCCAAAACGCCACUAAAAUGCGAAACACCACAUUCUUUGAAUCAUUAUAAGUUCACUUUUACAGUGUAUCAUAUUCAAAAAAUCUGUAUGAAGUUUUCAGAAAAUUGGAAUAUGAAUCGUUUCAAUUUUUUCAGUAUUUUAUUUUUAUACAAUUACCCUUGCCUGAAGUAAUUUUAUUGCAAAAUUUAAGGUCACUUUUUUGGGAAAUUGCCUUCGUGACGGAGUGGUGCAAAUUUCUGGUUCAUUGUUGCCAAUUUUAAAACUUCAAGAAAAAUAGUUUUUUUCCUCUUGUGUGGUCGGCAAUACUAGAAAGGUAUCUAAAUUCCCUUCUUGUGCCAAUACUCGAGGAACUUUAUCCCCUCAUCAUCAAUUGUCCGGUCCAGUUUGUCUGUGUCGAAGUCACCAUAUAAUCAACACCUGAAAAGGUGUCUGUCAUCUUGUACCUCUCCACAUUUGCACAGAUUGUCAUCAGCCAAGUGCCAUCUGUGUAGGUUGGAUUUUGAGCGUGUUGUUCCGCUUCUAAUAAUUCUAUUCAGCGUUUUCUAGAGGCUGUACUUCAGUUGGUUGCCUUGGGGCAAUGAUUCCCUCAUAGUAUUGCUACUUGAUGCUGUGUUCCAGAUUUGACAGCGUUCAACUUCGGCGGGAGCACUCAAUUCAUUCACUGUUCUCAGGAAACUGUGUCUAGAUUUUAGUCUGCUCUCUGGUAAUUCGUUGUAGCCAUGCAUGGGGUGUAGGGGGUUGUGUGUUUCUUUAGUUUUUUCUGCUCUGGCAGCCACCUCCCUACGCACUUCCUGUGGUGCAAUCCUCCCUAGGCAAUGCAGAGCUAUGAGUGGAGUUGAUCUGAGGCAUCCUGUCACCAAUCACCAGGCUUCAUUCAGGGGCACAUCUACUUUUUUAGCAUGUGCUGAUUGUCCCCAUGCUGGGCAAGCAUAUUCUGCAACUGAGUAACACAGCGCUAGUGCUGAUGUGCGCAGGACCUGUGGUUUAGCUCCCCAUCUGCUACCUACCAGCUUUCGGAUCAGAUUUGUUCUAGCAGCCACAUUCAUUUUGGUUUUUUCACAGUGUUGCCAGUAGGUGAGUGAUCUAUCCAGUGUCACUCCUAGAUAUUUGGGGCGGUCAUUGUGGUUCAGAGCAGUGUUUCCCCAUUAGAUGUUGAACUGUCUCUUGGCCUCACAAUUUUGCAGGUGGAACAAACAGGUUUCUGUCUUGGAUGGAUUUGGCCUGACGCCUGAGGUGGUUGGCUUUAUAUGUAGUAUUUGUUCAGUUCUUCUAUUGCCUGAUUCAGUGUGUCUUCCACUGCUACAAAUGUGUCACACUGUGCUGUGAGUGCCAGGUUCACCAGGUACAACAAAAGAAACAAACCCUUCGACUACAAAAUAUUAGUUGAAUUCACGCUGUACCCGUGUAAGCUUAUUAAAACCGAAUAUCUCUCCAUGAACUGGUCUAUUGGUUGGUCAUUGGUGUAGAUAUUAAAAAGGAUGGGUGACAGGACACUUCCCUGCGGCAAGCCAUUCUUUUGCCUUCUCCAAGUGCCGUUCUUUCCCUCUAAAGUCACAUAGAACCUCUGGUCUUUAAGCAGUGUCGUGAUGAUUUCUGUAAAUUUGUAGUCCCUGGUCAGUUCAUAAAUCUUGUACCGAAGUAACUGAUGACACACUGUGUCAAACGCUGCAGUGAGGUCCACAAACACAGCACCAGUGACCUUGCGCUGUUCAAAACCAUCCUCAAUGUGCUGUGUUAAACUCAGGACCUGGCCAGUGCAAGAUUUCCCAGGUCUGAAACCUGCCUGCUGACUGAUUAGGUUGUUGUCAAUAUGCUCAGCUAGUCGAUGUAGGACCACACGCUCAAAUAUUGUAUACAGGUGACAUAGUAAUGAUAUAGGGUGGUAACUUUUAGGGUUGUUUGGGUCUUUGCCUGGCUUUUGGAUAGCAGUGACAUGGGCCUCAAAAACUUACAAAAAUUUUCUAUAAUGACUAAAAAAUUGGUACCUUAAGUUUCAAAAUAGUUCUCCAGUUUCACGAAUUGUACAUUUGUAUGUACAUAUAUAUUGAUUUUUUGGCUUGACCAAUGCAAAAUAUUGGAGAAAGCAAAAUUCUCAAAACUUGAAUUUAUUUAAAAAAUGGGCGACUUGAAAAUUUUCAACUGCUGAGUAUCUUCUCCCAUUCAGGGACACCUCCGGAGCUAAAAUGUUUUCUGAGUAAUUUUCAACUCAAAAUGAAAAUUGCUGCUGAAUUUGGUCUAAAUCUGCUGAUUUUUUUUUUUUGGCGAUUCAUUCUACUGUAGGUAUUUACGAGAUGCUGUUGAAGGUAAGUAAAGAAAUGCCUCCACAUGAAUUAUGUAUACCUUCCAGUAGGUUUUUGAGAUGAUAUCACUAGAAAGUUUGGGAACCCCUGCUAUUCAAAAGCGUAAACGAUUUACGAAAAGCGCAAAACAGUUAGUAGCCUUCUAUUGUUAUUAUCACAACGUUUCGAAAAAAAAACCAUUAUCUACUGCUAUCACCACUUUUUAAACCAAAAAAACCAUGUUAAACACUUAUCAUUAGCGAAAAAAUGUUCCUUUCUUAUUCAAUCAACAGCAAUUUGAAGGUGUAUACGCGUAAAAUGUAUCUAUCCAAAAAGAAAAUCGCUAUUAAAAUACAAAUUUUCACAUUGAAACACAAAACACUUCUAUUUUCGUGUAUAUGCACCUCACUCGCGCUAUGGAUUCUGCUAUCUCUGAGCACAAACAUUUCGUCCGCGUUUGAUCAGAUACAACUCAAAUCGUCAUGAAUGCAAAAUUGAAUGUUAUGUCUCCAGAAAUCAAAAUGAACCCUUGGCUUACACUUGCUGCACGCCGUCAAACAAAUCAUUACGAACAAAUGUAUACUUCGUAAAAACCCACAAAACAGGAAGCACAACGGUCAAAAAUGUUAUAUUACGAUUCGCUUUUAGGAAUUCGCUCGAUGUAAUGGACAUCAUUUACAACACGUAUAACUUGCCAUUUUCCGAUUCUUCCAUGCAUCCCCACGCGAAGACACCGAAUAACAAAUAUCAUAUCAUGGCGCAACACGUCAGGUACGACCCUGCAUUAAAAUCAUACCAAUAUCCGAAUACAUCGAUGGUAACAAUUUUGCGACACCCUGCAACGCAGUUCCAAUCCAAGUACGAAUUUUUAGUACUGAAUAAGACGACAGGCAUGAACUUACAACAAUUUUUGAACGCACCUGAGAAACCUGAUUUGAGUAAGGGUGGUGGAGCAGUAUACAGAGGAUACAAUCAACUCAGCGUCGAUUUGGGAUUCGAUGUAAGUCAAAGUAAGAAUGAAACUGCCAUCGCCGAAUUCAUCCAAACAAUAGAUCGAGAAUUCGAUUUAGUUAUGAUUAUGGAGCAUAUGGAAGCUUCGAUGAUAUUACUCGCCAAUCUAAUGGGAUGGCCAUUAGAGUACGUGGCUUUUUUGAAAUUGAACUCCAGGAAUUCCCAGUCAGACCCUUACAAAUUGACCUUACGCGACGAAAUUACUAUAAUGGAUCUAAACCAAGUAGAUACUCUGUUAUAUAACCAUUUUAACGAUAAAUUUCAGAAAUGCGUGCGACAAUAUGGCGAACAAAAGAUGUUAGAUCAGAUUCAACAAUUGAAAAUAAUCAAUGAAAAAUUCGCGCAGAGAUGUAUAGGCGAAGAAAUUAAAAAACCAUUGUGGAAUGGCGGUUCGGAAAUGAUCGAAUUUAAGCCAAAGGAUUCAUCAGAUGUAGAAUGCGUUUACGCAGUUGCGUCCACCUUUGCACUCGCAGAUAUUCUCAAGAACUACACAAAGUCAAAAAAUGGAAAGUUCAAUAAGGGAUGGAAUUUUUUACAAUUUGUUAACUAAAUAGUACGAAUAUGUGGUGCUGAUUUACAUAUUUGGCCGAUUCAAUUUCUUCACAGAAUGAACUUCCCAUCGGAUUAAAAAAAUUGUAAUCAUGGUUUCUAUCCUCAACAUGUUGUCUUUGUCUGCGAAAUCGUAAAACAAAAUUUGUCUCUUUCUGGCUUCAUAUUCGAAAAAAAUUUCCUCAUCAUCACCCCCCUCUCACACGCCUCUGAAAAAUUUUAAAAAAACGCGAAAUUUCAACAUUUCUAUGUAGCAUAAGUAUUUUGUUUGAAACAGCGAAACUUUUUUUUGAAAUUUUUCGCUUAAAAAAAGACUUCUCGGCGGUAAAAUCACUAUUUUUUCGCUGCCAUUUUCCAACCCUAUUUUCAGAAAUCUCUUCACUCCCUCUCCCCUUUUCCCCAAACUAAAAAAUUACCAAAGCCACAUUUUUCACAAUAAAAUUAUCAAAAAAAUUGAAAUUGGAAGAAAAUUAGAUAAAUAAUUUUUCAAUUUCAUAAAAAAAAAGUUCGCAUACAAUUAUUACAAUCUCCGAAGUCCGAAUAUUGUAGAUAAAUCUUGCAUUAUAGCUAUAUGGGUAGACAAAAAAAAAAUUAAUAAAAAUUACUAUUUCAGUACAGUAACCGGAUCCCAUUCAAAAAUAAUAGUGAUUUUUACUCAGCCAAAAAAUACAUUUUAACUAGAAUUAGGUAAAAAUUUAUUAUUUAUUUAUUACUCUCAUACUAAAAUUUAGUAAAAUUUACUAUUCUUAUAGUAAAAAUCACAAUAUUUUUGAAUGGGAUCCGGUUACUGUAUGAAAUAGUAAAAAUUAUCCAUACUUUUUUUUUCGUGUAUACGUUCGUCGUAUGCGUAGUUUCUAAUCAUCUCGAUCUAAAUAGGCUAAUUUCAUCUUAUAUGUAUUUAAGGUUUUCGUUCUGGUAUAUUAUGAACUCAAAUUUUUUACACGUGCAGUAACAUUAUUCUUGUAAAAUAUAACAGUGUAGAUGCGCGAGCAGAUCGCGUUAUGGCGUUUUUUA